ensembl:lncRNA
GCUGAGAGAGAGAUGGGAGCUGAGAGAGAGAUGGGAGCUGAGAGAGAGAUGGGAGCUGAGAGAGAGAUGGGAGCUGAGAGAGAGAUAGGAGCUGAGAGAGAGAUGGGAGCUGAGAGAGAGAUGGGAGCUGAGAGAGAGAUGGGAGCUGAGAGAGAGAUGAGAGUUGAUAGAGAGAUGAGAGCUGAUAGAGAUUGAUGAGAGCUGAGAGAGAGAUGGGAGCUGAGAGAGAAAUGGGAGCUGAGAGAGAGAUGGGAGCUGAGAGAGAGAUGGGAGCUGAGAGAGAGAUGGGAGCUGAGAGAGAGAUGGGAGCUGAGAGAGAGAUAGGAGCUGAGAGGGGGAGGUGAGAGCUGAGAGAGAGAUGGGAGCUGAGAAAGAGAUGGGAGCUGAGAGAGAGAUGGGAGCUGAGAGAGAGAUAGGAUCUGAGAGAGAGAUGGGAGCUGAGAGAGAGAUGGGAGCUGAGAGAGAGAUGGGAGCUGAGAGAGAGAUAGGAGCUGAGAGGGGGAGGUGAGAGCUGAGAGAGAGAUGGGAGCUGAGAGAGAGAUGGGAGCUGAGAGAGAGAUGGGAGGUGAGAGAGAGAUGAGAGCUGAGAGAGAGAUAGGAGCUGAGAGAGAGAUGGGAGCUGAGAGAGAGAUGGGAGCUGAGAGAGAGAUGAGAGUUGAUAGAGAGAUGAGAGCUGAUAGAGAUUGAUGAGAGCUGAGAGAGAGAUGGGAGCUGAGAGAGAAAUGGGAGCUGAGAGAGAGAUGGGAGCUGAGAGAGAGAUGAGAGCUGAUAGAGAUUGAUGAGAGCUGAGAGAUGGGAGCUGAG